CCUCUAAGUGGGAGGUGCUUCCAUCAUCCGGCCACCUGGGUGGUAUUUAAGGAGCGCCGUUCCAUUCACGACAGGCUCUCGUCCUCUGCAAGCUUGCCCCCUGGUAGCGCAUGCUCGUCCCCAGAAGCAAGCCCGCCGCAGACAGCCAUCCAGACCAGGGAGUGAUAGGCCUCCUUAAAAUGAUUGGCGCGACACAUGGAAUACAACAAUCUUUCUCUUCCCAGAGUUGUUGCUGCCUAGUGGCUGAUUUGGAGUGAAUGGCGGCCAAGUUCAUGCCAGGAGUGAAGACUGAUUCAUACAUAGAUGGAACACAACGGGCUGCGCCAUGGCCCCUGACAGUUGCCAGACAACUAAAUACAUGGAUUUGAUUGGACUGCACUACCAGUUCCUACCAGAGAGGGGAGACUUGUACUUUCUUUAUUUAAACCAAAUUUUGUACUUACCUAAAUAUUUAUAUUAUAAUGUGUAAUAUUUUAGAUUUCCAUUUUUGGUGCUUAGUUUAUUAACAAUCUUAGCUGUACUGUGCUGGUAGUUGUAGUUACUGGUGGUAGUGAGUUUUAUUAUUUAUUUGUAUUAUUAUUUUCUCACAGUGGUGUUAUCAGCCAGUAUAUGUACACCCUUUGUGUCAUUUAUUUGUUAAGUCAAUUAUAUUUUGUUUGUACAGUCACUUAGUUUGCUCAGUUUUGCUUCUUUGACAUUAUUUAUGAGCACAUUAAUUUUUUGUAAAUAUAUUUACAAAAACUAUUUUUCUAAUGACUCCUGUGACUCAUUUCCUCUCAGUCCAUCACACUUGUCAUAACAUGACACAAAAAUUGGUGCAUGAAUUUAUGUCCAGUAAAUUAGAUUACUGCUCUGUUGUGUUUACUAGUAGAAAAAAUAAUCAGGCAGCUGCAGCUCAUUCAGAAUGCUACUUCUAGAGCCCUGAGCAACACAAAGAAAAUGGAUCCUAUUAUGAUUCUUAAGUCACUGCACUAAGGAUUAAAUACAUUAAAAUUUAGCAAUUAGUCCAUAAUGCAAUAAAUUCAAUAGCUGUUUUCUCAGUUUCUCAUGAAUAAUAAAGAAAUGGACUGAAGAUUAUACUAGCAUAUCAACAUUAGUUUUUUUGUUUGUUUUUAUAAUGCAGUAGUUUUAAAAUCUAAUAGGUAUUUUUUAUUUUGAUGUUUAUCCUGUGUUUUGUGUAAAUCGGCUUAAAUCAGAUAAUGUA